AUUUUUGAAAACAGUGAUAAAAUUUGCAGUGAAAUUUAGCUCGAUUUAGAUUCCAGAACAAAGAAAAAGAAUCGUGUAUAAAAAUCCACAGAUCCAAUGUGUCUGAGGUUGUGGAAUGCAUUACAGUAAUACUUACAAUGUAAGCAUGCACCCGCUCAAAAAGAUGGACCAAGAUAUACAAAGAGACCAGGAACCAACACAAGACUAGCUGAUGAGGGGGCAGAAAACCAAAACUUGGAAUGUCAUGUCUACAACCAACACAAGACUAGAAUUUGGAAUAAACUUACAAAAAAUCAGAAACAUACUAUUAUUUUUU